rnacentral:rRNA from 1 species
GGGUGAGUAAUGUCUGGGAAACUGCCUGAUGGAGGGGGAUAACUACUGGAAACGGUGGCUAAUACCGCAUAACGUCGCAAGACCAAAGAGGGGGACCUUCGGGCCUCUUGCCAUCAGAUGUGCCCAGAUGGGAUUAGCUUGUUGGUGAGGUAACGGCUCACCAAGGCGACGAUCCCUAGCUGGUCUGAGAGGAUGACCAGCCACACUGGAACUGAGACACGGUCCAGACUCCUACGGGAGGCAGCAGUGGGGAAUAUUGCACAAUGGGCGCAAGCCUGAUGCAGCCAUGCCGCGUGUAUGAAGAAGGCCUUCGGGUUGUAAAGUACUUUCAGCGGGGAGGAAGGUGUUGUGGUUAAUAACCGCAGCAAUUGACGUUACCCGCAGAAGAAGCACCGGCUAACUCCGUGCCAGCAGCCGCGGUAAUACGGAGGGUGCAAGCGUUAAUCGGAAUUACUGGGCGUAAAGCGCACGCAGGCGGUCUGUCAAGUCGGAUGUGAAAUCCCCGGGCUCAACCUGGGAACUGCAUUCGAAACUGGCAGGCUUGAGUCUUGUAGAGGGGGGUAGAAUUCCAGGUGUAGCGGUGAAAUGCGUAGAGAUCUGGAGGAAUACCGGUGGCGAAGGCGGCCCCCUGGACAAAGACUGACGCUCAGGUGCGAAAGCGUGGGGAGCAAACAGGAUUAGAUACCCUGGUAGUCCACGCCGUAAACGAUGUCUACUUGGAGGUUGUGCCCUUGAGGCGUGGCUUCCGGAGCUAACGCGUUAAGUAGACCGCCUGGGGAGUACGGCCGCAAGGUUAAAACUCAAAUGAAUUGACGGGGGCCCGCACAAGCGGUGGAGCAUGUGGUUUAAUUCGAUGCAACGCGAAGAACCUUACCUGGUCUUGACAUCCACGGAAGUUUUCAGAGAUGAGAAUGUGCCUUCGGGAACCGUGAGACAGGUGCUGCAUGGCUGUCGUCAGCUCGUGUUGUGAAAUGUUGGGUUAAGUCCCGCAACGAGCGCAACCCUUAUCCUUUGUUGCCAGCGA